CGGAUUUUGGGCGUAAGGGCUCGCAGGCGGUUUCUUAAGUCUGAUGUGAAAGCCCCCGGCUCAACCGGGGAGGGUCAUUGGAAACUGGGAAACUUGAGUGCAGAAGAGGAGAGUGGAAUUCCACGUGUAGCGGUGAAAUGCGUAGAGAUGUGGAGGAACACCAGUGGCGAAGGCGACUCUCUGGUCUGUAACUGACGCUGAGGAGCGAAAGCGUGGGGAGCGAACAGGAUUAGAUACCCUGGUAGUCCACGCCGUAAACGAUGAGUGCUAAGUGUUAGGGGGUUUCCGCCCCUUAGUGCUGCAGCUAACGCAUUAAGCACUCCGCCUGGGGAGUACGGUCGCAAGACUGAAACUCAAAGGAAUUGACGGGGGCCCGCACAAGCGGUGGAGCAUGUGGUUUAAUUCGAAGCAACGCGAAGAACCUUACCAGGUCUUGACAUCCUCUGACAACCCUAGAGAUAGGGCUUUCCCUUCGGGGACAGAGUGACAGGUGGUGCAUGGUUGUCGUCAGCUCGUGUCGUGAGAUGUUGGGUUAAGUCCCGCAACGAGCGCAACCCUUGAUCUUAGUUGCCAGCAUUCAGUUGGGCACUCUAAGGUGACUGCCGGUGACAAACCGGAGGAAGGUGGGGAUGACGUCAAAUCAUCAUGCCCCUUAUGACCUGGGCUACACACGUGCUACAAUGGACAGAACAAAGGGCUGCAAGACCGCAAGGUUUAGCCAAUCCCAUAAAUCUGUUCUCAGUUCGGAUCGCAGUCUGCAACUCGACUGCGUGAAGCUGGAAUCGCUAGUAAUCGCGGAUCAGCAUGCCGCGGUGAAUA
rnacentral:rRNA from 1 species